rnacentral:rRNA from 1 species
AUGAACGCUGGCGGUGUGCCUCAUACAUGCAAGUCGAGCGAACGGACGAGAAGCUUGCUUCUCUGAUGUUAGCGGCGGACGGGUGAGUAACACGUGGAUAACCUACCUAUAAGACUGGGAUAACUUCGGGAAACCGGAGCUAAUACCGGAUAAUAUUUUGAACCGCAUGGUUCAAAAGUGAAAGACGGUCUUGCUGUCACUUAUAGAUGGAUCCGCGCUGCAUUAGCUAGUUGGUAAGGUAACGGCUUACCAAGGCAACGAUGCAUAGCCGACCUGAGAGGGUGAUCGGCCACACUGGAACUGAGACACGGUCCAGACUCCUACGGGAGGCAGCAGUAGGGAAUCUUCCGCAAUGGGCGAAAGCCUGACGGAGCAACGCCGCGUGAGUGAUGAAGGUCUUCGGAUCGUAAAACUCUGUUAUUAGGGAAGAACAUAUGUGUAAGUAACUGUGCACAUCUUGACGGUACCUAAUCAGAAAGCCACGGCUAACUACGUG